UCCGACUGCUAUCCGGGUAAGACUAAGCCAUGCCAGUUGAAUGGAACUUCGGUUCCAUGGCAUACUGCUCAGUAACAAGUAAUCAACUUACCCUACAGUGGGGCAUAACCUCGGGAAACUGAGGCUAGUUCCCCAUAGUUGAACCUUUCUGGAAUGGGGGUUCAUCGAAAGCUCCGGCGCUGUAGGAUAGGAUUGCUCUCGAUUACGGUAGUUGGUGAGGUAAUGGCUCACCAAGCCUCUGAUCGAUAAGGGCCGUGAGAGCGGGAGCCCUGANAUGGAUACUGAGACAAUGAUCCAGGCCUUACGAGGCGCAGCAGGCGCGAAACCUUUACAAUGCACGCAAGUGUGAUAAGGUUACCCGGAGUGCCGAGAGAAAAACUGUCGGCUGUUAUAGGUGUGUAAAAUACCCUAUGAGAAAGGAGAGGSCAAGGCUGGUSCCAGCCGCCGCGGUAAAACCAGCUCUUCAAGUGGUUGGGGCUUUUAUUGGGCUUAAAGUGUCCGUAGCCGGUUUGAUAAGUUCCUGGUUAAAUCUGGCAGNUUAACUGUCAGCUCGCUAGGAAUACUGUCUUACUAGAGGGUGGGAAAGGUNUGAGGUACUCUAGGGGUAGCGGUGAAAUGCGAUAAUCCUUAGGGGACCACCAGUGGCGAAGGCGUCAGACUGGAACACGCCUGACGGUGAGGGACGAAAGCCAGGUGAGCGAACGGGAUUAGAUACCCCGGUAGUCCUGGCUGUAAACGAUGCGUGCUAGGUGUUGGUAGGGCUUUGAGCUGUAUCAGUGCCAAAGGGAAACUGUUAAGCGCGCCNCCUGGGAAGUACGUUCGCAAGAAUGAAACUUAAAGGAAUUGGCGGGGGAGCACCACAAGGGGUGAAGCCUGCGGUUCAAUUGGAUUCAACGCCGGGAAUCGAAUUCCCGC
rnacentral:rRNA from 1 species